GAGUGGUACUGCAUUGUAAUGGGCAUGGCGUAUCAAUAACCAUCAGCUGAACGUCCUGCUCGUCUCGUCCCUUAUUAUCAUUAAAAAAAAACGCCCUAAUCAAGUCCGACCCUCAUUUUGUUUCUAAUAUAGUUUAUUAUGCAUGGUCUUAUAGCUUGUUUCAAUAGCUUUCUUAUACAUUCUCUUAUAUCAUCAUAAUUAUAGGCAAUCUAUUAAUACACGUAAAUUAUAUCAUCCUAAUUAUAAGCUAUCUAAUUAGGUAUAAACACGUAAAAUAAUUCACAUUGACAGGCCUCUGCGCGCGCGCAAAACCGCGCCGAUCUACACCGUACUGCGGCGCGGGGGCACUUGCCGAUUAUAGUCCGAGGGCUGGCACCAAUUUUUGUGUAGGUAUUUGAGGCAAGCUGAAAACUUGGUCUAUACCUCUCUUGAUAUACCUCAACUUGGAACUGCAGACCUGGCUGGAUUCCAUGUCUAAAGAGAAGUUGCUAGAGUCAGGCUGCAGACAAAUGAGAGAAGUACCUGCACUAUUGUCCAGACUGACCCGUUGACUCGGCAUCUUGAGGCCCGAAUUGACUUUUAUCAUCAUCAUCAUUAGUACGAAGAGACCCACUACCAGACAAAAGGCUCGCCCAAAGAUCUCCACGACAAUCGGUCCUGCGCUGCCCUCAUCCAACGUAUUCGGAAAUCUUGUCCAGAUCGUUGGUCCAUCUUGUGGGGGGCCUACCAACACUGCGUCUUCCAGUACGUGGUCACCAUUCGAGGACUCCUCUGCCCCAAUCUGUCCAUCAGAUAUAUUGUGACCUGCCCUGUUUUCCUCAGGAUCUCCUCAAUUCUGAUUCGAUCUCACUGGAAAGCUCCGAGCAUAGCUCUCUCCAUUGCUAUCCGAGCGACCAUGAGUUUUCUCAUCAGGCCCAUAAUUAACGACCACGUCUGUGUACCGUAAGUCAUAAAAGGCAACACACACUGAAUUGACUUUGAAUAAGCUUAUGGAAUUGCAACCCGUGCCACUAAAUUAAAAAAAAAACUUUGAAUACCGAAAAUUCACUCUAGUUUCUCUCUAAUUUAAUAAAUGAAUGAUUGUUGUA